rnacentral:pre_miRNA from 1 species
AAAAUACUCCCUCCGUCUCAAAAUUCUUAUCUUAAAUUUGUGUAGAAAUGAAUGUAUUUAAAUACUAAAACGUGACCAGAUACAUUUAUAUCUAAACAAAUUUAAGACAAGUAUUUUGGGACGGAGGAGUCAUAAU